GGAGCGAGCUCGGCCGCGUCUCCCUCACGCGGCAAUGGCGGGCGGGCCGGGUGGCGAAGUGGGACUGCAGGGGAAGGCACACCCGGGGGGCAAAACAAAAUGUAACAGAAAACCCCGCAGCUUUAGCAGGAGCUUCGGGGCUCGGGUGGACAUGGGGUGCUGGGUAAGAGUGUAGCGAAAAAGCCUGAGGCAGCGUCAGAAAACAGCGAGGCUGGGCAGCAGCAGCCGGGCUUCCCUGCAGCAGCUGCCGCACACAGCCGGGGAGACGCGCCCUCUGGGAAGGGGGAGAGGGUCGGGGUCCCCUCGGGUUUUCCCCUGAGACACCCGAAGAGAUGGUGACGGUCCUUUCCAGUGGGACCGGGUGUUAAUUAAGUCCCAGUUCAUGAGGUGAGCAAAGGCUCGCCUGCGGUAGGAGAAGCAGUGGGAGGACAAAGCUCAGUAGUGGCAGCAAAUCCCCCUGGCAGUGACCACAGACCGGCUGUCCCUCUGUCCCCCUGCCGAGAGUGAGAGAGAGCGGGGGCAAAGCCCAGCCCCUCAUGCCCCAGCCAGAAUCUCACCAUAUCUCUGCCCUUCCCAAGAAAAAGCCCUUCAGUGGGACAAAAUUCCAUGAGAGAAAGAUAAAAGAAAGAAAAGGAAAAAUCUUAACCUCCAACAAUCGAACUUCAAUGGAACAAGGCUGCCCUUUAGCCUGUGUACAGAACCCUUCACUGAUAAAAAAGAGAAGAACUACAGACCCCUUUUAAGAAAAGCACACCCAGGAAAAAGAGAAACUGCAGUCAAUUUUCAGGUGGCUUUUAUGAAUAAUCCUUUAAUAUAUCUAGAGGUCAUUUAACACAAGCCUUCGAAAGCAAUUGCCAGCUGGCUUAAAAAGCAAAACCAAACUUCCCUUCCUGCUCUUCCCUCUCUGCCCCCAGCAAAGCCCUGUCAUACUGAAAGAUACAAAUUCUAAUUUAGGCCAGAAGUAUCUCCAUGAGAGAUUUUGCUGAAGAUACAUUGUGAAAGUAGUGGAAGCCACAUGCAUCUGUCAACACGGCAAUAGGAAACCACUUAAGCAGAAAUGAAAAAUGCUCAGCGUUAGCAUCAUGCACGUGGUUUUCAACUGGAAUUAAAACUGCAAGUCCAGGAUAAAAAUGGUGUAUUUGAAAUAUUUUGUAACAUGUAAACAGAAGACAAAAAGCGAUUUAGCAUUCUGCUAAAUAUUGCAAUUCAUACAUCAUGUUAAUUCUUGUGUGUUUCUUAAGCAU